GCUCUUAUCGUUAAAAUAGGUUAAGACAAUACUUUUUCAUAGUAUAAAUGUGAGUUCAAAUCUCGCUAGGAGUA
rnacentral:tRNA from 1 species